rnacentral:rRNA from 1 species
AACCGCGGUUAUACGAAAGACCCAAGCAGACAAUACCCGGCGUAAAGAGUGGUUUAUUUAAAUUUUACUAGAGCCAAAUACCCUCAAGACUGUUAUACGUGUUCGAGAAUAUAGAAGCCCACCCACGAAAGUAGCUUUAUAAAAUAAAUACCACUAAAGCUAAGACA